UCGGUGAUAGUAUAGUGGUGAGUAUCCCCGCCUGUCACGCGGGAGACCGGGGUUCAAUUCCCCGUCACCGAG
rnacentral:tRNA from 2 species